rnacentral:rRNA from 1 species
AUUGAACGCUGGCGGCAGGCUUAACACAUGCAAGUCGAGCGGGGUGAUGGUGCUUGCACUAUCACUUAGCGGCGGACGGGUGAGUAAUGCUUAGGAAUCUGCCCAUUAGUGGGGGACAACAUCUCGAAAGGGAUGCUAAUACCGCAUACGUCCUACGGGAGAAAGCAGGGGAUCACUUGUGACCUUGCGCUAAUAGAUGAGCCUACGUCGGAUUAGCUAGUUGGUGGGGUAAAGGCCUACCAAGGCGACGAUCUGUAGCGGGUCUGAGAGGAUGAUCCGCCACACUGGGACUGAGACACGGCCCAGACUCCUACGGGAGGCAGCAGUGGGGAAUAUUGGACAAUGGGGGGAACCCUGAUCCAGCCAUGCCGCGUGUGUGAAGAAGGCCUUAUGGUUGUAAGGCACUUUAAGCGAGGAGGAGGCUCUUUUGGUUAAUACCCAAGAUGAGUGGACGUUACUCGCAGAAUAAGCACCGGCUAACUCUGUGCCAGCAGCCGCAGUAA